rnacentral:misc_RNA from 1 species
UCUCCGUAGGUGAACCUGCGGAGGGAUCAUUGCAGAGUUCAUGCCCUACCGGGUAGAUCUCCCACCCUAUGUUAUUAUUACUUUGCUGCUUUGGCGGGCCGUUAGGCUCCGGCCCGACUACCGGCCCCGGCUGGUAAGCGCCCGCCAGAGGACCCAAAACCCUGAAUAUUAGUGUCGUCUGAGUACUAUAUAAUAGUUAAAACUUUCAACAACGGAUCUCUUGGUUCUG